CGCUCUUAAAGCACUCAAGUUUAAAAUUACACUACGUCAAAUAGAGUUUCCUUCACUAGCAACGAACGAACAAAAUAGCCUCAAGAUGAACAGUGGCAACGAUGCAGCUGCACUUUUCGAUUUUUCCAGCGGCAGUCUAGAGGGUGGAAACAAGAUAAAGCGCUCUGAUUUUCCCUCAGAUUUUAUCUUUGGUUCGGCAACAUCUGCUUAUCAGGUUUAUAUCUGUGUAAUUUUUACAAGAAUUAUGCUACAUGUACACCGACCUGUCUACAAUUCCCAUCACAAGAGGGGGGCCCAAGAUUGUUUUAUUGGACGCAAGCCUUCUCUUGUGAGGGUGAUGCAAGCUCGGUGUACAAACAUAAAAAUCCUUUUUACAAAGCUCAGCAAAUCAAUUAAUCAUCCUGGCCACAAGUGUAUUUAUUUAAAUGCUUUUUAUAUUUACUCAAAAAAGAGAAAAAAAACAUGCUUUGUUUUCAUUAUUAUUAUUUUGGUUGAUUUUUUCUUUGCAAUGUAAUUCAGGUUGAAGGUGCUUGGGCAGCAGGAGGAAAAAGUCAAAGCAUCUAGGAAAAUGAUGGAUUGGUCACAUAUUUACUAUUGGUGGUGUUGUUAUGGCAAUAAGAGGGAUAAUUGGUUGAAGGAAAUUGAGUGGAACUAUCAAUGACAGAAAAUUGUAUUAUUGCUGGAUUCUGCCUAUUCAACCUUUGGUUUGGAUAAUACCUUGAGUAAAACUUGUAUUCAUUAAUAUGAAUGUUUUAUUUUAGAAGAGUUAGAAGUAAAUAAAUUAUAUUUAAUGGUUUAUAAUCUAACAUGUGGCAUGCAAAUCCAAGUAAAACUCGAAACAAAAAUAGUGAAAUUCCAG
rnacentral:lncRNA from 1 species